rnacentral:rRNA from 1 species
AGAGUUUGAUCAUGGCUCAGAACAAACGCUGGCGGCGUGGCUAAGACAUGCAAGUCGAACGGACCAUUAAUUUAUUAAUGGUUAAUGGCGAAAGGGUUAGUAAUGGACAGGUAACGUACCCUGUGCUCCGGAAUAGCGUCGUUCGCCUUCGGGCGAGCUUCCGAAAGGGGCGGUAAUACCGGAUAAUAUCAUUUGUCGAUGGACGGAUGUUCAAAGAUUUAUCGGCACAGGAGCGGCCUAUCUCCUAUCAGCUUGUUGGUGAGGUAACGGCUCACCAAGGCAGUGACGGGUAGCGGGACUGAGAGGUUGACCCGCAACAUCGGGACUGAGACACUGCCCGGACCUCCACGGAGGGCUGCAGUAACGAAUCUUGCGCAAUGGGCGAAAGCCUGACGCAGCGACGCCGCGUGUAGGAAGAAGUCUUUCGGGAUGUAAACUACUGUCAGGGGGAAGAAAGUCCGCUUCGGCGGAUUGAUCUAACCCAAAGGAAGUCACGGCUAACUUCGUGCCAGCAGCCGCGGUAAGACGAAGGUGGCAAGCGUUGUUCGGUGUUACUGGGCUUAAAGCGUGUGUAGGCGGAAAGGUAAGCGUCCUGUGAAAGCCCCCGGCUUAACCGGGGAAUUGCUCGACGAACUGCCUUUCUUGAGGCAAGUAGGGGUGCAUGGAACUCUUGGUGGAGCGGUGGAAUGCGUAGAUAUCAAGAGGAACGCCGGCGGUGAAAACGGUGCACUGGGCUUGUACUGACGCUGAGACACGAAAGCGUGGGUAGCGAACGGGAUUAGAUACCCCGGUAGUCCACGCCGUAAACGAUGUCUACUANGUUGUGGAAGUUCUGACGCUGCCACAGCCGAAGCAAAAGUGAUAAGUAGACCGCCUGGGGAGUACGGUCGCAAGGCUA